AAGGUUGAAACUCAAAGGAAUUGACGGGGGCCCGCACAAGCGGUGGAGCAUGUGGUUUAAUUCGACGCAACGCGAAGAACCUUACCAGGGCUUGACAUCUAUCUGAAGUGUUUUAGAGAUAAGACAUUACCUUCGGGACAGAUAGACAGGUGGUGCAUGGUUGUCGUCAGCUCGUGUCGUGAGAUGUUGGGUUAAGUCCCGCAACGAGCGCAACCCUUAUUCUUAGUUGCCAGCAAGUGAAGUUGGGCACUCUAAGGAGACUGCCGGUGACAAACCGGAGGAAGGUGGGGAUGACGUCAAAUCAUCAUGCCCUUUAUGUCCUGGGCUACACACGUGUUACAAUGGCCGGUACAGAGGGCAGCUACUCCGCGAGGAGAUGCUAAUCUUUAAAGCCGGUCUCAGUUCGGAUUGGAGUCUGCAACCCGACUCCAUGAAGUUGGAUUCGCUAGUAAUCGCGCAUCAGCCAUGGCGCGGUGAAUACGUUCCCGGGCCUUGUACACACCGCCCGUCAAACCAUGGGAGCUGGGGGUGCCUGAAGUCUGUGAUCCCGAUUUAUCGGGAAGCGGCCUAGGGUAAAACCAGUGACUGGGGUUAAGUCGUAACAAGGUAACCAAGGGCGAA
rnacentral:rRNA from 1 species